rnacentral:rRNA from 1 species
GUCGCAAGACGAUGUAUAGGAGCUGACGCCUGCCCGGUGCUGGAAGGUUAAGGGGAUCUGUUAGAGCAAUCGAAGCAGUGAACUUAAGCCCCAGUAAACGGCGGCCGUAACUAUAACGGUCCUAAGGUAGCGAAAUUCCUUGUCGGGUAAGUUCCGACCCGCACGAAAGGCGUAACGAUUUGGGCACUGUCUCAACAACAGACUCGGUGAAAUUGUAAUUCCGGUGAAGAUGCCGGAUACCUGCGACAGGACGGAAAGACCCCAUGGAGCUUUACUGUAGCUUGACAUUGGGUCUUGGUACUACAUGUACAGGAUAGGUGGGAGGCUUUGAAACCAGGACGCCAGUUUUGGCGGAGCCAUCCUUGGGAUACCACCCUUGUAGUACUGGGACUCUAACCAUAGGCCAUGAAUCUGGUCUUGGGACACUGUCAGGUGGGCAGUUUGACUGGGGCGGUCGCCUCCCAAAAGGUAACGGAGGCGCUCAAAGGUUCUCUCAGUACGGUCGGAAAUCGUACGUAGAGUGUAAAGGCAAAAGAGAGCUUGAUUGCAAGACAUACAGGUCGAGCAAGGAUGAAAAUCGGACUUAGUGAUCCGGUGGUUCUGCGUGGAAGGGCCAUCGCUCAACGGAUAAAAGCUACCCUGGGGAUAA